rnacentral:rRNA from 1 species
AUCUACAGCCAUGCCACCCUGAACAAGCCCAAUGUCUGAUCUCGGAAGCUAAGCAAGUUCGGGCCUGGUUAGUACUUGGAUGGGAGACCACCUAGGAAGACCAGGUGUUGUAGGCA